UGUAGUUAUACCCCUAUCUUCCACCGUCUUUUUCUUCUUCUUCUUCUUUUGUUUUUUUUUUUUAAACUGAAGUCUAGUUAGAACCUCAGCAUACUGAAAAAUAACACUUCCUUCUCUCUUUUGUUUUGGAAAAACUAAACUCCAUAGGAAUCAAAAAUUCGAAGGCUUCAGAAAUAUUAGCUGAUUCAGCAGAAAAUGAUCCCUUCGAAAAUGCAAAGGCUCACCCUUUACUUGGUCUUUUUUUUUUUUUUUUUUAAAUCAAUUCCUGUCUCCCCUCCUCCUAAUCGGAACCCCCUUUUAUGGCUGGUUGAAUGUAGAGGGUCACCUGUCUCUUUUGGUGGUACCUUGUUCAUAGAGGGUCAUUGUCUAGAAAGUUCGACUUCGCAGCAACAACAGAUGAAAGCUUUGAUGAUGUGGAAUGUGGAAUUUUUCGGAAAACGAUCCUGUCAGAAGGAGCUACUCACUGCUGUGUCUGCUGUAACAAGGCUAAGUGGGAUGGAAGGAGAUAACCGAGGCAAAUGUGUGCCACUGGCCAGGAAUCAGGUUCUCACUUGACAUGUGGCUGCCAUUUUGGAAAAUGGCAACUGCACUGUCAUUGUUUAAUUUUAUCAUUAUUCUAUAAUGUGUCUUAAAAAUUGAUAAUUGUUUCCCUCAUUCACACUGGAAUAUUGCCCAGAUGCGGAAACUCUUGUGAUAUAGGAUGCAUUGUGCAUGAGUUUGAGAACUUUUAGGUGCAAUAAAGACCUCCUAAGUGUAACUGGUUUAGCCAAGAAGGACACUUAAUUCAUCUCAUAUGUCAAUGAAUUUGGAAACAGGAAGUUCCACCAUUGGUUCAUUCUGUGACUCAACCGUGUGAGGCCUGCAGCUCGCCUUCUAGGCUCUCAGCUUCCCGUUUGGUUGCAGGGGGCCUGCCUCUGCGGAGUCGGCAUGCUUCCUGGGACAGCUGCCAAGGCAGGAAGAAUGGCAGGACUCCCCCUGUGCACCUCUGCCCUUGGAAAAGAAAGUCUGCCCCAAAGGCCUUUGACCAGCUGUAGGCUGUGGUGGGCGGCUGGUGACAGGUGGGCUCUUGUUGCAAGGAAGCCAAGGAGGGGAAAGUGACUAUUGAGCAGACGACAGUCAGCCACACGUUACUCUUUGAAACGAACUUUCAAGCAAUAUCAUUGAGCCAACAUGCCUAGUCUUCCAAAGUGUUUUGUUCAGGGCUGUGAGUUAAGUAUGAUCUAGAUCCAAGAAAACCUUGAUAUCUACAUUUUUUUCCUUUUGAAGAUCACACAAUACAGUUCUCUGACAGUUGGUGUGAAAUAAAUGUCGAAUGGUUUACUACUUGUUUUAUUUAUAAUAUUAUAAACUGCGUAGAGUUUAGUUCCUUACUUCCUUUUUAUUAAGCCCCUCCCCUCCUUUUGGGAGACUUCCUUAAAAAUAUUGACACAGGGGCCGCCCCGUGGCCAAGUGGUUAAGUUCACAUGCUCUGGUUCAGCGGCCCAGGGUUUCGCUGGUUCCGAUCCUGCGCACGCAUGUGGCACCGUCAUGAAGCCACACUCUGGCGGCGUCCCACACAGCACAGCCAGAAGGACCUGCAACUGG
ensembl:lncRNA